GGAACGUUCACUUUUUGAGACGUGGUCACGUCUCACGAGGAUGCACGAAAAUAAAAUUACAAAAAUGUGGUCAUGCCAACUUUAGUGGGUGUUGCAGCUUUCCAUGCUCUCCAUUCCAUACCUGUUUGGCAGAUUUGAGGCCUGAGCCAGCCAUCGUAACAGCAAUGUUUUGCUUGUGCUGGACCUCCAGUCAUAUGAUUUGACCGAUGACCUCCUGUCAUCAGCAACAAUCACAGUAUCAUUGCUUAGAUAAACAGCAUCUUCUUUAACUGGAGAAACUACCAAUGUCGAUCGAGUGGGACGGAUCUCUUCAAUUCCCUUUUACUGAGAAUGGAUGGAGCAACUGACGUAGAUGCCUGGCUGUAUUUCCCAGGCUUAAAGGUAGGA